CUUUCAGCAAGCAGGACGACGCUUAAGGAAUGAUCUAAAAAAGCCAAUUACAUGUAUAGCUUCUUAUCUUUAAGGGGAUCACUAGUAGAAAAAAGCAAAUGGCUUAGUUGAAUUUUUUGCCCCACUGAAACAUAGUAUCGUUUCUUAUUUUGUGCUGGUCAUCCACUGACAUUCCUGUUUUUCAUCAUGAUGAAUUUCAUGGAAAUCUUGACAGUUCACUUGCUCCAAUGUAUGCUCAGAUGAUGUAGACUUACUUUUGGCUUCAGAUUACUGAUGGUUCUAUUCAACAAGUUAAACAAGAGGAACGGAAAUCCUUUGAUGAAAAGUUCAUUCAAAUGGAUACAAAAAGGCUCUGCAAGUUGGCAUUUGGUGCUGAUAGCCUGCAAUUAAAGCCCAUGAUUGAGCCCCUACUGAUAUUUUUUUUCAUAUUUUUUUCAAGUGUAAAAUUAGAGAUUUUUUUAUGAAUAUAUGAGUUUUAUGUUUAUUAUGUAUAUGUAUAAGUGUUUGACAGUCAAUUUAUGUGAAAAAAGCAAAAAAAAAAAAAAAAAAA